rnacentral:rRNA from 1 species
AGAUUGAACGCUGGCGGCAUGCUUUACACAUGCAAGUCGAACGGGGUGGUGGGGCGAACCUGCCAUUCAGUGGCGAACGGGUGAGUAAUGCAUCGGAACGUGUCCCGUAGUGGGGGAUAACCCGGCGAAAGCCGGACUAAUACCGCAUAUGCUCUACGGAGGAAAGUGGGGGACCGCAAGGCCUCACGCUAUGGGAGCGGCCGAUGUCCGAUUAGCUUGUUGGUGGGUAAUGGCCUACCAAGGCGACGAUCGGUAGCUGGUCUGAGAGGAUGAUCAGCCACACUGGGACUGGAGCACGGCCCAGACUCCGUACGGGAGGCAGCAGUGGGAAUUUGGACAAGUGGGGCAACCUGAUCCAGCCAUGCGCGUGCGGAAGAGGCUUCGGGUUGAACGUCUUUAGCGGUAAGAAAGCACGAGAACUACCGUUAGUUCUUGACGUACCGGA